rnacentral:rRNA from 1 species
UGGUCAAGUUAUUAAGGGUGCAGGGCGGAUGCCUUGGCACUAGGAGCCGAUGAAGGACGUGAUAAGCUGCGAUAAGCUUCGGGGAGUUGCACGUAAACUUUGAUCCGAAGAUUUCCGAAUGAGGAAACUCACUUAGAGUAAUGUCUAAGUAUCAUUAAGUGAAUACAUAGCUUAAUGAGGGGAACUCAGGGAACUGAAACAUCUAAGUACCUGAAGGAAGAGAAAGAAAUUCGAUUCUGUAAGUAGCGGCGAGCGAACGCGGAUUAGCCCAAACCAAUAAAGUUUUCUUUAUUGGGGUUGCGGACAUAUCAUAACGAAGAGGUAUCGUAAUUGAAGAGGUUUGGAAAGAUCCACCACAGAAGGUAAUAGUCCUGUAUGUUAAACGAGAAGACUUUAGAUAUGAUCCAGAGUACCACGGGACACGUGAAACCCUGUGGGAAGCAGGAGGGACCACCCUCCAAGGCUAAAUACUACCUAGUGACCGAUAGCGUAUAGUACCGUGAGGGAAAGGUGAAAAGAACCCCGGGAGGGGAGUGAAAUAGAACCUGAAACCCUGCACUUACAAGCUGUGGAAGCACAUUUCUUGUGUGACCGCGUACUUUUUGUAGAACGGGCCAACGAGUUACGUUAAGUAGCAAGGUUAAGCACUUAAGGUGCGGAGCCGUAGCGAAAGCGAGUUUUAACUGAGCGUUCAGUUACUUGACGUAGACCCGAAACCGGGCGACCUACCCAUGAGCAGGAUGAAGCGAAAGUAAAAUUUCGUGGAGGUCCGA